CCAGACUCCUACGGGAGGCAGCAGUGGGGAAUAUUGCACAAUGGGGGGAACCCUGAUGCAGCGACGCCGCGUGAGUGAAGAAGUAUUUCGGUAUGUAAAGCUCUAUCAGCAGGGAAGAAGAUGACGGUACCUGACUAAGAAGCCCCGGCUAACUACGUGCCAGCAGCCGCGGUAAUACGUAGGGGGCAAGCGUUAUCCGGAUUUACUGGGUGUAAAGGGAGCGUAGACGGCAGGGCAAGUCUGGAGUGAAAGCCCGGGGCCCAACCCCGGGACUGCUUUGGAAACUGCCAUGCUAGAGUGCUGGAGAGGUAAGCGGAAUUCCUAGUGUAGCGGUGAAAUGCGUAGAUAUUAGGAGGAACACCAGUGGCGAAGGCGGCCUGCUGGACGAUGACUGACGUUGAGGCUCGAAAGCGUGGGGAGCAAACAGGAUUAGAUACCCCCGUAA
rnacentral:rRNA from 1 species